GAUGAACGCUGGCGGCGUGCCUAAUACAUGCAAGUCGAACGAGGUGCUUUUGUAGCAAUACGAGAGUAUCCUAGUGGCGAACGGGUGAGUAACGCGUUGGUGACCUACCCCAAAGUGUGGAAUAACAGUCCGAAAGGAUUGCUAAUACCGCAUGUGGUUAUCGGGUUUAGAAACUGAUAACUAAAGGAGCAAUUCGCUUUGGGAGGGACCUGCGUCCCAUCAGCUAGUUGGUGAGGUAAUGGCUCACCAAGGCUACGACGGGUAGGGGACCUGAGAGGGUGACCCCCCACAAUGGAACUGAAACACGGUCCAUACACCUACGGGUGGCAGCAGUAGGGAAUAUUGCACAAUGGGCGAAAGCCUGAUGCAACAACGCCGCGUGCACGAUGAAGGCCUUCGGGUCGUAAAGUGCUUUUCUGGGAGAUGAGAAAGGACAGUAUCCCAGGAAUAAGUCUCGGCUAACUACGUG
rnacentral:rRNA from 1 species